rnacentral:rRNA from 1 species
GGACUACAGGGGUUUCUAAUCCCGUUCGCUCCCCUGGCUUUCGCACCUGAGCGUCAGAUACUCCCCAGGACACUGCCUUCGCCUUUGGUGUUCCUCCGGAUCUCUACGCAUUUCACCACUCCACCCGGAAUUCCGUGUCCCUCUGAAGCUCUCAAGUCCCUCAGUUUUCGAAGCGCUUUCCCAGGUAAGCCGGGAACUGUCACUCCAAACUUGGGGGACCGCCUGCGUGCCCUUUACGCCCAGUAACUCCGGACAACGCUCGCCCCCUACGUAUUACCGCGGCGGCUGGCAC